rnacentral:rRNA from 1 species
GAGUUUGAUCAUGGUUCAGGAUGAACGCUAGCGGCAGGCUUAACACAUGCAAGUCGAGGGGCAUCGCGGGUGGCAACACCUGGCGGCGACCGGCGAACGGGUGAGUAACGCGUGAGCAACAUGUCCUCAGUCGGGGGAUAAGCGAGGGAAACUUCGUCUAAUACCCCAUAACACUUUCAGGCGCAUGCCUUUAAGUUGAAAGCUUUUUUUGCGACUUUGGUUUGGCUCGCGUGACAUUAGCUAGUCGGUGGGGUAACGGCUCACCGAGGCUACGAUGUCUAGGGGUUCUGAGAGGAAGGCCCCCCACAUUGGGACUGGGACACGGCCCAAACUCCUACGGGAGGCAGCAGUGAGGAAUAUUGGUCAAUGGACGGAAGUCUGAACCAGCCAUGCCGCGUGAAGGAAGACUGCCCUAUGGGUUGUAAACUUCUUUUGCAGCAGAGCAAUAAGGCGUACGUGUACGCCGAUGAGAGUAUGUUGCGAAUAAGCAUCGGCUAACUCCGUGCCAGCAGCCGCGGUAAUACGGAGGAUGCGAGCGUUAUCCGGAUUUAUUGGGUUUAAAGGGUGCGUAGGCUGUUUUGUAAGUCAGCGGUGAAAGACCGGGGCCCAACUCCGGAAGUGCCGUUGAUACUGCAUUGCUAGAGUUCCCCUG